CCUACGGGAGGCAGCAGUGAGGAAUAUUGGACAAUGGGCGCAAGCCUGAUCCAGCCAUGCCGCGUGCAGGAAGACGGUCCUAUGGAUUGUAAACUGCUUUUGUACAGGAAGAAACACUCCCUCGUGAGGGAGCUUGACGGUACUGUAAGAAUAAGGAUCGGCUAACUCCGUGCCAGCAGCCGCGGUAAUACGGAGGAUCCAAGCGUUAUCCGGAAUCAUUGGGUUUAAAGGGUCCGUAGGCGGUUUAAUAAGUCAGUGGUGAAAUCUGGUCGCUCAACGAUCAAACGGCCAUUGAUACUGUUAGACUUGAAUUAUUAGGAAGUAACUAGAAUAUGUAGUGUAGCGGUGAAAUGCUUAGAUAUUACAUGGAAUACCAAUUGCGAAGGCAGGUUACUACUAAUGGAUUGACGCUGAUGGACGAAAGCGUGGGGAGCGAACAGGAUUAGAUACCCUGGUAGUCCACGCCGUAAACGAUGGAUACUAGCUGUUCGGAGCAAUCUGAGUGNGUAGAGAAGUAGAGUAAGUAGUACCACCGUCGGGAGGUAACGGUUCGUCGAAGAAGUAGUUAAACGUUAACGUAAAUUAGAGUUAGACGGACGUUGAGACGUUGCCGACGGACGACGACGAGGGAGGAGG
rnacentral:rRNA from 1 species